rnacentral:lncRNA from 1 species
UUCUUUUUUUUUUUUUUUUUUUUGUCGAUACAGGGGUGUCCGGGUCAAUCCUUACAUGCACAUGAUACCAGUAUAGGAGAAUACAAUAAUAUACUAACAUAGUAUGCUAGCGUGUGAUGAUAUGAUAUCCAUUUAAUAUGACUUUACAAUUUGCACAGUCCCAAAUUCCCAAUAAGCACCAGUUCCCAAACUCAUUAAAAUUUCCUGGCAAGAAUUCGGUGAGAUGCUGUGUACAGCUUUAUUGAAGAAAAGGCAAAGGAUGUAGUUAAAGAUGUAAUUAAGCUUCAACGGGUUUUGAAGUGGAGAUUGCCCAAGAGAAAUAUGGGGGACCUAAAACCUUGGCGAUGCUCAAAAACAAAGUGGAUCAUUUCUACUUUCAUUAGUGGCUUGAAGAAAGAAAUCAAGCCAAUGGUUAAGAUGCUCAGACAAGAAACAUAAUAGUUGUUCAAACCCCAGGAAUAUUCAAUUAAAAACAGAAAAAAAAAUAUAGCUUAAUGCGAACUCUUUGUUUCUGAGUACAGUGAACGAUUAUCAAUUUUCCAAUACACACUUUUUGUAGCCUCUACAACUUAUGGAUACAGACAGGUAUAAGCAUAAUCACAUGGAGUAGCUAGAUUGAGCGGUUCAGAUGAUGUGAAAAUAAAGAGGCAUAAGCCCCAUUAGCUGUCUUUAUGAGCUCAUCAUGUCUACC